UAUAGUUAGCCAUUGUUAGCAGCUAGCUAGCGUUACCUAGAUAACAUAUAUCAACCAAGUCUCCCAGCGCGAAUUAAAGACUACCUGAAGUUACUUGGGAAGGAGAAGCUCUUGUAACAUAGUUUGCACAUGAAGGGACUCUCCUUGAGGCAGCUGAGGAAGGUUAGACCCAGGUCCCUUCUAUGAACCCUUUCAGUAGGCAUUAGACGGGACCCUGAAAGAGAAGACUACCACCAGAGGGGUCUCCCGCCACUCCCUCUGAAGGCUGAAUCCCAGGGUGACCUGCUCUGUUCAGCAUAGAUAUUGUGGUGUUUGUAUCAUAGGAACAAGAUGGUCUAUCAGCCACAGGUCCUGCUUCAUCCCUGCACUGAGACUGCGAAGAGAAGGGUCUGGGCUGCAGACUGGAUCUCUGACUGUAGUCUCUCUGAUGACCACCUGUCCACUGGUUGUGUUCUAUGUUGUGGUGGAGUCUCUGUCCCUUGCGGUUGGGUCCUGGUUCCGACUCGGGAAGGAAGAGCGAUGGCUCCUGAUCCAGGGUUCUGAGACGGGGCCAGGGUUUGUGACCAGCCACCUCAGUGGUCCAGUCUCUCCCACCAGUAACACUGGAUAUCAUCAGGUCUUCAAGGACUGCAGUCUGCAAACAAAGAUGGUACAGAAAAGCAUAAAGGUUUAUAUAAGAAACUCUUUACUGUACACAAACAUGACAUUAUAAAAUGUUAACCAGUCAAGCCCAUCUCUAACACUGAUUGAAGUACCUAACAAUAUGGAGCCAUUGGAUUGAUUUUUUAUGUUCAAACUCCGUCCCUGCAAUGAUACAAAAAUAACCAAGUCAGUCAGGACAGUGUCAAUUUCGUAUUUAAUUAAAACAAAUCACAUUUAUUGCACAAAACGAUAUGUGACAAGUAGAAUGACUUUUCUCAUUAUGGUAACACUGCCUUUUCUGUAAAUCUGGUACCCUCCCUUUGAUAAAAUGAAUGUUAAAAUACUUUGGAAAAUGUUUUACGUUACAUUACACACAGCGUCACUACUUCAUGUCAAGUAAACAUGAAUUAAGAUACUAUCAUUAUCUCACUAUAAAACACCAGUAUCAAACAGGACAAAGUUGUCACUUUUCAUCAGUGAAGCAUUUUUACAGACACCACCACACCAACCAUCACCAUAUCAUCUACUCUGCCUCAUCAUACUCAUUCUUCCCUCAGUUCUCCUCAUCCAGUUCUCUACUACAUCCUAAACCAACAGAAUGAACUAUGAACUAUCUAGUACUACAUUACAUGUCACUAUACUCUAAUCAGGGGCCUGUGCAUUUCCCCCAGACCCCCCCCCCCAGACCCCUCCUUCUUCACCAGCAGCACCUCCUCCUCCUGGAAGAGACAUGUGACACAGACACACACUCCCUCAGUUCUCUACUGCCAAUGACUGGAACGAACUACAAAAAGCACUGAAACUGGAAACACUUAUCUCCCUCACUAGCUUUAAGCACCAACUGUCAGAGCAGCUCACAGAUUACUGCACCUGUACAUAGCCCACCUAUAUUUUAGACCAAACAACUACCCCUUUCCCUACUGUAUUUAAUUUAUUUAUGUUGCUCCUUUGCACCCCAUUAUUUUUAUUUCUACUUUGCACAUUCUUCCAUUGCAAAUCUACCAUUCCAGUGUUUUACUUGCUAUAUUGUAUUUACUUUGCCACCAUUGGCCUUUUUUUGCCUUUACCUCCCUUAUCUCACCUCAUUUGCUCACAUUGUAUAUAGACUUGUUUAUACUGUAUUAUUGACUGUAUGUUUGUUUUGCUCCAUGUGUAACUCUGUGUCGUUGUAUGUGUCGAACUGCUUCGCUUUAUCUUGGCCAGGUCGCAAUUGUAAAUGAGAACUUGUUCUCAACUUGCCUACCUGGUUAAAUAAAGGUGAAAUAAAUAAAUAUAUUCUAGUCUGUC